CAAAAAAAAAAAAAAAAAGCAUCAUUUGCAAACUUUGACACUUUAAUAAUUACUGGUUUUCAAAUAACAUCUGGCAACUGACAGUGCUCUGCGGGAGGGUUGCAGUCUUGUGGGCAGGUCCUGGUGGAGACCCUUCACCUGCCCUGGGAGCUGGGCAGGCAGCAGCUUCAGAGGAGGUCGAGCUCUGCUACUCUCUGCAGCCCUUCCAUGGCUCUUUCCUUCUCGUAUAAACCUGGACUCCAGAGCCCAGGGUCUGGGUGGUGGGGCAGGGCGGAAGGAGGCUCUAAGUGGGGGAGUAGGGAGGGCGGCUGAUGUGCCGUAAUUCCUGGAAUAGGGGGAGAGGUUAUAACCAUAUUUAACUAAGACACAUGGAUUUCUGGGACAAAUUAUUUUCACGCAGGGAAUUAUUCUGGGAGCUUUGUCUAAGUCAGUUUAAUAACCAAAAACCCCCGAAAACCCAAAAACUACCUGGCAUUUUUAUAGUCUUCAAAGCACUUCAAUAUCUAUCAUCUCAGAUCCCCCUCCACCUUCCUCCGUUCCUUCGUUCAUUCAAAACCAGUUUUGUGCCUUUCCAGACAUUUGGGGGCAGCUGUCUGUUUUGCGGAUUAUCCAUUUAAUUCCUCCUCUUGGGUGUCCUUGUCGACCUCUGGCCAUGUUUCUGUUCACCUUUUCGUUGGAAGGAAGAGGUGGAUAAUGAGAUUAAUUGCUGAAACAAGGUUAGAGAUUAUCAUUAGAUUCAGAUUUCCAUGUUUUUCCCAGCCUUCCUUCCCUUCGGGGGACCUGAGAUGAUAAUUGGAGAGUGAAGUAUAUUUUGUGACAUUUAGGAAACAGGAGAAGAGAAGGGAUAUGGAAAAGGGAAGAUCCGAUUAAACCAGUGUAGACAUUGUUAAGAAAUUUAUUUGCAAGUCUUGUUUUUUGUUUUUUUUUGUUUGUUUUUUAAAUAACAUCAUUCCUUAGAUAAAAAUGCAAUCUUACAGGAAUAUACACAGCGUCUCACACAGAGAUGACCCUGAAGCUCUUCUUGAAAGGCUGUCCCUUCUAGAUUCCCUGGUCUUUCUCAAGGACGAGAAGGCGCAGCAGGCGAGGCCUUUGAUAACGGGAUUAGCGGAUGAGUACAAACUGUACAGCGAUAUUUACAACAGUAAGACUGUGACGUCGAGGCGCCUGGAGGCGCAGGGGCCACAUGUGCAGCAAGAACCAGACAUUGAUCCAAAAGGGCUCCCCUCUCCAGCAUAACGAACAUCUCAGCAGCACAGAGGCAGACAUUUGGGGAAAGUGGACAAAGAAUGACACCUAAACUGAAUUUCUGGAAGACCUUGAUGGCACUGAAAAGGACCCGAGAAAGUUCGGAUAAGCUGGGCUUGGAGAAACAGGAAAAAACUCUCCUGUCUCUAGACUGCAAUUAACCUGUGGGUGUCGGGCACAUUUCUCUACUUUUUCAUGAAUCGGUCCAGGAAAAUAAAACUCAUCUUCACUGA